CCAAGCGAACCCAGAAAUAGCUGGUUCUCCCCGAAAUGUAUUUAGGUACAGCCUCACGGCUGCAGUCACCUGGGAGGUAGCGUACACGGAUCGGUACGGGGGCUUACCGCUUACCAACCCGAACCAAACGCCGAAUGCUCAGGGGAUGCCGUGGGAGUGAGACUACGGGUGCUAAGAUUCGUGGUCGAGAGGGAAACAGCCCAG
rnacentral:rRNA from 1 species